AUGUACAAGAUGAACCACUAUGGUAUGCCAUUCAUACCUUUUGUUGGUCUUAACAAUCACCGGAAGACCAUUGUUUUUGGUUGUGCCAUAGUUUCGGACGAGACCGCAGAGACAUACGUGUGGCUGCUGCAGACUUUUUUGAGGUCCAUGUGUCAAAAGAUGCCGAAGAGUGUAAUCACGGAUGCCGACGCUGCAAUGAUCAAGGCAAUUCGCGAAGUCUUGCCGGACGUGUGGCACCGUAUAUGUACAUGGCAUAUAGAAAAAAAUAUGAAGAUUCACCUCAGUCACAAGUCCUUGAAGGAGUUCUGA
rnacentral:rRNA from 1 species